UUNGAUCCUGGCUCAGGAUGAACGCUGGCGGCGUGCUUAACACAUGCAAGUCGAACGAUGAUCCGGUGCNUGCGCCGGGGAUUAGUGGCGAACGGGUGAGUAACACGUGAGUAACCUGCCCUUGACUCUGGGAUAAGCCUGGGAAACUGGGUCUAAUACCGGAUAUGACUCCUCAUCGCAUGGUGGGGGGUGGAAAGCUUUUUGUGGUUUUGGAUGGACUCGCGGCCUAUCAGCUUGUUGGUGGGGUAAUGGCCUACCAAGGCGACGACGGGUAGCCGGCCUGAGAGGGUGACCGGCCACACUGGGACUGAGACACGGCCCAGACUCCUACGGGAGGCAGCAGUGGGGAANNUUGCACAAUGGGCGAAAGCCUGAUGCAGCGACGCCGCGUGAGGGAUGACGGCCUUCGGGUUGUAAACCUCUUUCAGUAGGGAAGAAGCCCUCUUUGGGGGUGACGGUACUUGCAGAAGAAGCGCCGGCUAACUACGUGCCAGCAGCCGCGGUAAUACGUAGGGCGCAAGCGUUAUCCGGAAUUAUUGGGCGUAAAGAGCUCGUAGGCGGUUUGUCGCGUCUGCUGUGAAAGACCGGGGCUCAACUCCGGUUCUGCAGUGGGUACGGGCAGACUAGAGUGCAGUAGGGGAGACUGGAAUUCCUGGUGUAGCGGUGAAAUGCGCAGAUAUCAGGAGGAACACCGAUGGCGAAGGCAGGUNUC
rnacentral:rRNA from 1 species